rnacentral:rRNA from 1 species
AUUGAACGCUGGCGGCAUGCCUUACACAUGCAAGUCGAACGGUAACAGGUCUUCGGAUGCUGACGAGUGGCGAACGGGUGAGUAAUACAUCGGAACGUGCCCGAUCGUGGGGGAUAACGAGGCGAAAGCUUUGCUAAUACCGCAUACGAUCUACGGAUGAAAGCGGGGGAUCUUCGGACCUCGCGCGGACGGAGCGGCCGAUGGCAGAUUAGGUAGUUGGUGGGAUAAAAGCUUACCAAGCCGACGAUCUGUAGCUGGUCUGAGAGGAUGAUCAGCCACACUGGGACUGAGACACGGCCCAGACUCCUACGGGAGGCAGCAGUGGGGAAUUUUGGACAAUGGGCGGAAGCCUGAUCCAGCCAUGCCGCGUGCAGGAUGAAGGCCUUCGGGUUGUAAACUGCUUUUGUACGGAACGAAAAGCCUCUUUCUAAUAAAGAGGGGUCAUGACGGUACCGUAAGAAUAAGCACCGGCUAACUACGUG